GAACCGGACGUUCAAGUUCCGCAAGUUUGGGAACAUCUUCAGGUUCUGAACUAGUCUUAUGAACCGUCCUGGCAGGAUGGGGUCCUCGUCUGCUUUAAUCUGCCACUCCUGGAGCAGCAUAGGAUAGUUUUUAAGGAAUUUCUUGUUGCAGGAUGUAUAAAAAGUACAUUAGUUCUAGCGUUUCUGUCUCCCCAGUUGCUUGUGUGAGAUAAUAUGCUUUCCAGACCCCUUCAUGAAGCCAUAUACCUAAGUUGCAGAGGCCUCUUCCUGAAAAGUCUAGCAGAAUAAAACUAGCAUCUGACAAUUCCAACUUACAGGUGACCAACCGCGAAGACCCAAGUUGAUUUUAUUCACAUAUUGCUUCAAUUCCUCAUGCGCUCGAACCUGCUCCAAUCGAACGCAGCUCGGAUCACCUACGGUGAGCCUCACUUCCCUAAAAAGCUCCCGAGUCGCAGACUUCGAACAUCUAUGGCAAGUGAGACGAAGAUUUUUGAGUGAUUUUCGAUCUGAAAAGGAUGCGAUGCGAGCCCAAAGUUCGCUUGGGAGCUGAGGGAUAGCCAGUGCCAUCUUGGCAGACUGAAAAGUAAAGCCCGAUGGAAGUUAGGUAGCUGGUAAUUGACUCCCACUCUCAAUCCGAGGCAUGCGCCAGAUGUCCCAUUUAUAAGUUUUUUUUUUUUUUUGGAUCGGCUGCGAAGUGCGGAGCAGCAACUCCCAACUCCACCUUCUUCCUGUAACUAAGCUUAACUUAGCGCCGUACUAUCAUCAUGAUGCCAAAGGAUAUCCUGCCGCCCAAAGGUAUCAUGAACGAAUGGCUCUCUUCCAAAUUGUCGACGAACAGUUCUCCACUUCAUCGCGAGGAAUUUUAGGCUGCAUUGAGGAAUGUAGUAUCCAUGAUACGAGGGCGUGAUCACAACAGUGCAACCAUGAAACAAUCAAGUAUUUGUAUUGAAUGAAUAGUGGAUUGGAUACCUUGAACUGCUGGCGCCAAUGCUGUUGCUGACUUCGACGGGUUCUCAGAAGGCAAUUUUCGGCGAAGAAAUCACUCCAGUAGAAUAGACACCGCUUUCCUCAGUGUACAUAAAGUCCAGGAGCAUGGAUGAUCAGUAUGGGGAGUGAAUGUCCACAUAUCCAACCGUAGAAUUCUUCACAAUGCGGUGGUUGCACCCUCCAAGGCCCGGCCUUAUCUAAGCACUUCCACAGGAAAAAAAAUCCGUAACCGAGAAAAUCAGCGUGCCAAGAUUUCGCUCUUCCCCACACCCUGCGGCCUCGCAAAUUAUUCUUUUCACGGCAGAGCCUGGAGACCAACCAGUGCGUUGUCGAUUGGACUUCUUCUUCACCAUCGGCCUGCCAGCAAGAGAGGAAGGGUUCUUGCUUUGGCAUCUUGUGUCGGAUUCUCUUUGCUAUUGCCAUGGCGGACAGUCUCGAGGAACGGCUGCGGAGUCAUGCACAGGCUUUCGAUGGAUUGCUAUCGUUGAUUCCUGCAAAAUAUUACUAUGGAGAAGAUACCACUGAUCAAUGGCAGCGCAAGAAGCAAACGAAAGAGGAAGCUCGAAAUGCCAAACGUGCAAAGCUUGACCCUGAUACCUUGAAAACUGCAAAAGACGUAAUGGAUGAAAAUGCCCGGAAGAGGAAGAGAGAAGAAGGUGAAAAUGAUGAAGCACUAUCAGAUUCCGAUGGUGAUGAUAGCAAUGGGGAAUUAGGAACAGAAACACCAAUGGAGGGUCUUAUCCGUGGUCAAAAUAAGUCGAAAAAGCAAAGAAAAGCAGAGAAAUCGGAAGGCGACCACAACAAAGAUAAAAGUGAAGAUGCAGAAGCCCGCAGGAAACGGCAGGAAGAGAAAGCAGCAAAGAAAGCAGCGAAAAAGGAACAGAAAAAAUCGAAAACAGUAGCCAAGCUGGAAAAGAAGAAGGCGGCCAAGUCAGGUACUCAAGGAGAUACCAAGGAGAAUAUGAACGAGGAUACCCUAAAACACCAAAAGCAACAAAAACUCCAAGAGCCUACGCUCAAUGGAACGCCCAAGAUAGACGACGAUGACGAAGUAGAUGAAGACAUUGCUCCUAUAGAAGGAUUCUCAGCCCUGCAAAAUACUGAGGAUGCGGAGCCAGCAUCCACCGCUCCAUCAUCACCAGGCCCCAACUCACAACAAUUUGAUCCUUCCAACCCACCGUCCGGAACAUCCUCCAUUUCCUCCAUUGCCCCGCCCGUAGUCACCACCGACGCCACAACCAAGCCAGAAACUGUCACACAAUCCUCAAACGACAUCAACAAAAAAACCAAAAGCCUAACCCCCGAAGAGCUCAAGCAACGAUUACAAAAGCGCAUAGAAGAACUACGAGCCGCGCGCCACGCCGACGGCUUCAAUGGCAAACCUGCCCGCAACCGCCAAGAACUCAUCGAAGCCAGACGCCAGCGCGAAGAACAGCGCAAAGCACACAAAAAGGAACUUCGCCAAAAGGCGCGAGAGGAAGAGCAGAGGAAGCGUGACGAGGCCAUUGCACGACGAUUCUCCCCGCGCGGCUCCGGUUCAUUACUUGCCUCCCCGCGCUCCCCAGCAGACUCCAUCUCGUCGAUCCCGACCAACUUGUCUUUCGGCCGUGUCGUGUUCGCCGAUGGCCAACAGGCGGAUCCCAGCCUAAGCACGCUCAUCAAUGCAAAGAAGCGCAAAGGCCCGCAGGAUGCGCAGACGGCGCUGAAAGCGCUAGAGGCCAAACAGUCGCGCUUGGAGGGGCUGGACGAGACCAAGAGAGCCGAAAUUGAAGAGAAGGAUAUGUGGCUGAAUGCGAAGAAGCGGGCACAUGGCGAGCGGGUGAAGGACGAUAUAUCUCUGUUGAGAAAGACGUUGAAUCGCAAGACGGGGGCGAAGAAGAAGAGUGAGAAACAGUGGAAGGAGCGGAUUGAAGGUGUGAUUAAAGGGAAGGAGAUGAGGCAGAAGAAGAGGGAGGAGAAUUUGCGGAAGAGGAGGGAGGAGAAGGGGGCCAAAGGGGCCAAAAAGAAAGGCGGUGGCAAGAAGACUACUGGUGCGAAGAAGCGGCCAGGGUUUGAGGGCGGGUUCAAGGCGAAGAAGAAGUGAAUGAGUUUGUUGUUUAUUUGCUUCGGGGUUUGUACUGGAGAAGUGACGAGGAGGACUUAUUUUCUUCAUCUUGAUGAUUUGGCCAGGCUAAUAUACCUCCGAUUUUACUUAACCCAUUUUAUAUUUCACUUCUGUUUGUGAUUUAACUGUAAAUCGGUAUUUUAUAGGUCUUCGUUCAUGGCGAGGAGUUUCAUCGAUCAAUUUAACCAUUUUUUCUUGUCGAUUUCUCUUCUCAUUUGGUAUCCGUCAUUGCCUACCUACCAAAGGUAUACGAAGCACAUAGUGUUCCCCUGAUCUGGAGGAACGGUGUUGAUACAGGUGGAAUUCGUUAUGAUGCUUCUAGGUUCUCUUUUAUGCUUUCUCCUCAACUGACUUCCAACUCGCAAUUAUUACAUCUAGAAGGCCGAGUAUUCUGUAUUGCAUAAAGAGCUCUGCAUUUUUCCUGCCUCUUCUCUCUCUCCUCAUUUCCGUUUCAAACUCAUUCCGUGCUACUUUUGUAAGAUAACCUUGG
rnacentral:sRNA from 1 species